CAUCUUCCACGAUAAACCCUUGCUACCAUAACCAUGGCUUCUUUCACCUUCUCUGCUGAGGUGGCAUCUAACUUCUUCAACCUUGCUUAUCGCAACCCUAAACCUGUCACUUCAAUCCAAACUGCUUUUCUCCCUCUUCUACGCACCACAAGAAGAAGAACAAUACAUUCCCGCUCUUUCUCCACAACAUUCGCUCUCAGACCCGCUCGCCGCUUCACCGUCGCUGCAACCACCAGUGCGCCGCCUCAAUCCGAGGGCUCCGAUGUCUCCACCGUCAUCCCGCCCGAUAAUCGCAUUCCGGCAACCAUCAUCACCGGCUUUCUCGGUUCCGGCAAGACGACGCUGCUGAACCAUAUUCUGACCGCGGAACAUGGGAAGCGAAUUGCUGUUAUUGAGAACGAGUUUGGUGAAAUCGACAUAGAUGGUUCUUUGGUGGCGGCCAAAACUGCUGGCGCUGAAGAUAUUAUGAUGUUGAAUAAUGGGUGUCUUUGCUGUACUGUGAGGGGGGAUCUUGUUAGAAUGAUUUCGGAAUUAGUGACUAAGAAGAAAGGAAAAUUUGACCAUAUUGUCAUAGAGACUACAGGUUUGGCAAAUCCGGCACCAAUAAUCCAGACCUUUUAUGCAGAGGAUAGGAUUUUCAACGACGUCAAGUUGGAUGGCGUUGUCACCUUGGUUGAUGCCAAGCAUGCUGGUUUUCAUCUCGAUGAGGUUAAGCCAAAAGGUGUGGUCAAUGAGGCAGUGGAACAGAUUGCGUAUGCGGACCGUAUAAUUGUCAAUAAGACCGACCUUGUUGGUGAAUCAGACAUUGCUUCUUUAGUCCAGCGGAUAAGGAAAAUAAACAGCUUGGCCCACUUAAAGCGGACAGAAUAUGGAAAAGUUAACUUGGAUUAUGUUCUUGGCAUUGGGGGCUUUGAUUUGGAGAGGAUUGAGAAUGCCAUUAGUGAUGAAGGUGCUAAAGAAGAUCACGGGCAUAGCCAUGAUCAUGACCAUGAGCAUGAUCAUCACCACGAUGAUUCACAUGACCACAAGCAUGAACACCAUGAUCACCACUCUCAUGAUCAUACUCAUGAUCCGGGUGUUUCAUCUGUCAGCAUUGUUUGUGAAGGAAGCUUAGACCUUGAGAAGGCUAACAUCUGGCUCGGUACCUUGUUACUGGAUCGUAGUGAAGACAUUUACAGGAUGAAGGGUCUUCUGUCUGUCCAUGGAAUGAAUGAGAGAUUUGUCUUUCAGGUAAAUUUAAAUUUCUCUAGCAUAAUAGGAUUGCCGUACGGAUCUUGAAUAAAUUUCUCAAAAGUUUUCACUUCUAUGCUAUUGUUGUUAUCAUCAAUCAAUCAGGGAGUCCAUGACAUAUUUCAAGGUUCACCUGAAAGGUUGUGGGGGCCAGAUGAACAAAGGAUAAAUAAAAUUGUUUUCAUAGGGAAAAACUUGGAUGCUAAGGAAUUGGAGAAGGGAUUCAAGGCCUGUUUACUGUGAAACCAGAAGUUCUAUACAAGGAGCUCUAAUCCUCUCUGUUUUGGCAAAUGAUGCCCAUUGAAGAUGAGUGUCUGUAUACCAUGUAGAAUUGUGGACUAGCUUACCAUAUACAUAGUGAAAAGUGUUCCAUUCCUCGAACAUCUUCGUUCUCUAAUGGGGCUUAAAUCUCACCCCGAAAUUGCGAUGACAUUAGUUUCAAGUGUUGUUUUAAGGGCUUAAACUUCGUUGAGAAAAUUCAAUCGAAAACAUUAUUUUGUACAAAUGAAAGGACCUUAUACUU